rnacentral:lncRNA from 7 species
AUGCACCUAGUCCCCAUUUCCUUUUGUAUUUCUUUAAUAGAAAAAUAACAGGAAAAGUAAUUACUGGCUAUGUGAAAUUUAAGUUCAUACAAUAUUUCCUAUAAGGCUACAAGCAACUCCUUGUUAAAGCAGAUAAGUUAAUCUAUCUUUUGGUUAGGGUCACAGUAGGUUUUCAGCUUUAAAUCACCGUGGCAUAGUAACUAAUGGCAUUUACCAUAGAAGUGAUGUUGAAAAAACAAGGAACCUGAGCAAUUAUUAGGUGUAUAUUUCCAGUGAAAACAACCCACAUACAGGCAGUGUCAGUAAAAAAGGAUGAUUGAUCAUCUGGACUUUGUUCCCUUACGUUUUCCUCCCCUCUUUUUCUACAAUGCAAUAUUAACUCUAGGGCAAUUAUUGUAAUGAAAUCUGCCAGCAGACUUUUCAGCAUGAAGAGUUCUGGCACCACCAGGAGGGACUCAGCGGGGCAUUUUACCCCUGGAGGCUGCAACUGCACAGCAAGAGGAGCAUGGUCCUUCCCAUCAUUCAGAUUUCAGAAAGAUCAAGGCAUUCCAGGACCAGAUAUCAAUAAAGGACCCGGCAUUCAGUGUGCUGUGCACCAACUCUCUCAAAGCAUUUGAGGCAAAGAAGAGGAGGAGGUGACAGGCAUGAGAAAGUCUGGAUGAUCAAACCAGCAAGAAAGCCACUUCCAUUCUUUUAUGAAGAGACAUCCUGGAGAGACUUGCUGUACUCAAACAUUCCUGCAAUGGCAAGUACUGUAUAUCAGAGGAGACUUGUGGUAUACUGUCACUGCAGUGGAGUAUUUUGGUGAGUGGGUUGUUGUUUUUAGUUUUUUGGGGCAGAAUGUUUUUUCAGUUUUUCAGGGAUGUUAUCCCACCCUUGUACUUGGUAGCACAUGAACUGGGAUUUGAUAGUAAUAUAGGCAGUAGUAAAGCCUGAGAGAUGCUGAAGUGCUAGACUUGACACUGGAGGACAAGAGUGAAAUCACUAUGGCUGCCUCUCGGACUUUAAGCAAAAGGCACCUUUCAGUGAAGUCCAUUGGAAUUUGAAGCCAGACAUUGCAGUAUCCACGUAACUGCUCAUCCCCCUGCUUCCUUCUCUGUCUCCAUCAGGUUCCAUUGAUGUGCCUGUUGACCCACCUCUUCCUCCUCACUACUGUUUGUAGUUCAAAUGCAGACUUUGUUCUGCAUGUCUUGUGGAAGCCUGGGUACCAAUGUAGUUAGGCAUGGGUCUAUGGGUCUAGAUGCAGUUAUGUGUGGGUCUGGCCAUCCCUGGGAGAUGGUCCUUCUUUAGUGUGACUCCUGUGGGAUUUUAUUUAGAGCCUUACUAAUCUUGUACACUUUGGAAAGUUUCCAGACUCUUUCUGCCCCUUGCAAACUUGUAGGCUAAUGUGCAUAUUGCUUUAAUUUGUUCUUCAAAUGAAACCCAAUUAUGCCUGUAGGUGCCUGGCUGUUAAGUCAGUAAUUUACUUCACGGUAGCUUAGCAUGUUUUUUAAAUGCCUGUUUUGCUAUGAGGUUUCUGUUCAUUGAAGGAAUGUGUAAACCUGUAAAAUAGCACUGGAAAGAAUUUCUUUGG